rnacentral:misc_RNA from 1 species
AACUUUUAACAAUGGAUCUCUUGGCUCUCGCAUCGAUGAAGAAAGCAGCGAAAUGCGAUAAGUAAUGUGAAUUGCAGAAUUCAGUGAAUCAUCGAAUCUUUGAACGCACCUUGCACCCUUUGGUAUUCCGAAGGGUAUGCUCGUUUGAGUGUCAUUGUACUCUCACACUCUCUGAUCCUUUGGAUUCAGGGAGCGGUGGACUUGGGUGUUUGCUGCUUUCCUAGUGGCUCACCUCAAAUGCGUCAGUGCACCUCUUGGUUGGACAUAGUACGGCGUGAUAAGUAUCUUCGCCGGCACCUCGCGAGAGGGUGGCUGAUCGGGAGCUCUGUGCUUUCAAACCGUCUUCGGACAAUCUCUGACAACUUGACCUCAAAUCGAGUAGGACUACCCGCUGAACUUAAGCAUAUCAAUAAGCGGAGGCU